GAUGAACGCUAGCGGCAGGCCUAACACAUGCAAGUCGAGGGGUAGAGGAAGCUUGCUUCCUUGAGACCGGCGCACGGGUGCGUAACGCGUAUGCAAUCUACCUUAUACAGAGGGAUAGCCCAGAGAAUUUUGGAUUAAUACCUCAUAGUAUUAUGAAAUCGCAUGGUUUUAUAAUUAAAGUUCCAACGGUAUAAGAUGAGCAUGCGUCCCAUUAGUUAGUUGGUAAGGUAACGGCUAACCAAGACAAUGAUGGGUAGGGGACCUGAGAGGGAGAUCCCCCACACUGGUACUGAGACACAGACCAGACUCCUACGGGAGGCAACAGUGAGGAAUAUUGGUCAAUGGACGCAAGUCUGAACCAGCCAUGCCGCGUGCAGGAUGACGGUCCUAUGGAUUGUAAACUGCUUUUAUACGGGAAGAAACACUCCCUCGUGAGGGAACUUGACGGUACUGUAGGAAUAAGGAUCGGCUAACUCCGUGCCAGCCGCCGCCGUAAAAC
rnacentral:rRNA from 1 species